UACGUAGGUGGCAAGCGUUGUCCGGAAUUAUUGGGCGUAAAGCGCGCGCAGGCGGCUUCUUAAGUCUGAUGUGGAAUCUCGGGGCUCAGCCCCCGAGCGGCCAUUGGAAACUGGGAAGCUUGAGUACAGAAGAGGAGAGUGGAAUUCCACGUGUAGCGGUGAAAUGCGUAGAUAUGUGGAGGAACACCAGUGGCGAAGGCGACUCUCUGGUCUGUAACUGACGCUGAGGCGCGAAAGCGUGGGGAGCAAACAGG
rnacentral:rRNA from 1 species